GCACCUCCAAUAAGAGGUUUUAGUGUAAAAAUUCUGGGGUUCUCUUGAUUAAAGAGAAUAAAAAUAAAUCAAAAAGCCUAAUUAUGAAAAGAAUCGAUUCUCUUAAGAGAGUUUUGGGAACAAGAGAGACGCUGACGUGUCACGUUGUAAUUGGCUGAUUAAUUUAACAAGAGAAAAAAAAAGAAGCGUGUGUUUUCAUUUUUUUGUCUUCGUGAAGUCUCAACCGCGUCUCCUGCAACCUCUUCUUCUCUCUCUCUGUUUGGUUUGACCGGAGUUUAUGGUGGAAGUACGAUCAAGAUCACGGCGAACGGAGAGCAAUUGGGUCUAGCAAUUGGUUUCUAUACUCUGUUGUGAUUGAAUCUGAAUCUGGUCUAGCAGAAUUUGAUCCAAGUAGCUCUGGAGUUACCAAUCCUCGUGUUGAUAUUGAUGGGACUGUGAUAUGUUCUAUGCUCUUAAUUUCUGUUCCUGGAAUCGUUAUAGCCUUGUGUGUUAUGUUAUAGGCAUGGAACAUAGGAAUGUGGUGCUUUUGUUUUAGUAGGAAUUGUUAGCUUUUGACUAUUUAGAGUCACAAUCUUUUUUUGAUGAUGUUGUUGGAAGGUUUUUGGUUCUUGUUGUAUCUCUUUAGAAUGUGAAAAAAUUGCAUUGUUCUGUUGUUGAAAUUGUUAGAUUUGGUUUAUGUUUUCGAAUCGUAGGAUCAAACCGAUCAAUAGCUUUGAUGAUUGAAAUCGAUUCUUGCUCUCGUUUUUGUUUGAUCUUUAGCAAUUGUAGCAUUGUUUAUGUGAUUUUUAUGAAUUAGAAACUUUGAAUCAAGAACAAAGCUUAUGAGAUUCUAGUGUUGUGGGUGAUAGUUUCGAAUCGUUGAAAUUCACCUUUGUUUGUUUUCAAGAAAACGAUUUAAUUGACGUCAUAGAAACUCUAGUGAUUCAUGUUGUUUCUUCUCCAUGGUCGUGCUUUGUGAGAUUUGACAGAAGCUAGAUUUAUUUAUUAAGGUUAUGCAUUGACUUUGCUCUCUAUAUGGGUGAAUUUGAUUUAGAUUUCCAAAUACUAAUUCUAUGGUUUGUCAAACGAUUUUCAUCUUUAUCUCUCCAUUUACAUGGCUUAAGCCUCCUGCUGAGCUUGAGAAGAGGAAGCACAAGCUCAAGCGUCUUGUUCAGUUUCCUAAUUCCUUAAGAAUUUUUUAAGCCCCAGGAAUUUCAUGUAAGAAUUUGAUUAGGUUUUUGAAGUGGGCAAUUGAAAAAGAAGAGAUUAAUUUGAUUUAUCUGGAGAAGCUAGGCGGCAUGGGACAAAACCAUUUGCUGAUGUUAUCUUUUGAGAGUGUCAUUUUGAGAGUCAAAUGUAACCCAAAUUUUUAUGUGCAUAUGCAAAGCAUCUUCUUAUGUGAAUGAUUUCUCCA